rfam:Echinostoma caproni strain Egypt genome assembly, scaffold: ECPE_scaffold0008002
GCACUGCUGACGAGUCCCAAGCAGGACGAAACAACUGUGCAGUGC